GACGAACGCUGGCGGCGUGCUUAACACAUGCAAGUCGAACGGUGAAGCGCCUUCCUUUUUGGUGGGUGUGGAUGAGUGGCGAACGGGUGAGUAACACGUGAGUAACCUGCCCCCUUCUUCUGGAUAACCGCAUGAAAGUGUGGCUAAUACGGGAUAUUCUGGGUCUGUCGCAUGAUGGGUCUGGGCAAGAUAUUGUUUCGGUGGGGGAUGGGCUCGCGGCCUAUCAGCUUGUUGGUGGGGUGAUGGCCUACCAAGGCGGUGACGGGUAGCCGGCCCGAGAGGGUGGACGGUCACACUGGGACUGAGACACGGCCCAGACUCCUACGGGAGGCAGCAGUGGGGAAUAUUGCACAAUGGGCGCAAGCCUGAUGCAGCGACGCCGCGUGAGGGAUGGAGGCCUUCGGGUUGUGAACCUCUUUCGCCAGUGAAGCAGGCCUGCCUCGUUUGUGGGUGGGUUGACGGUAGCUGGAUAAGAAGCGCCGGCUAACUACGUG
rnacentral:rRNA from 1 species